GGGUACCGCUGACACCCUCUCCUCGCCGCUCGGUAUAAGCGUCGGGGGAAGG
rnacentral:ncRNA from 1 species